rnacentral:rRNA from 1 species
CCUACGGGAGGCAGCAGUGAGGAAUAUUGGUCAAUGGACGCAAGUCUGAACCAGCCAUGCCGCGUGCAGGAAGACGGCUCUAUGAGUUGUAAACUGCUUUUGUACGAGGGUAAACGCAGAUACGCGUAUCUGUCUGAAAGUAUCGUACGAAUAAGGAUCGGCUAACUCCGUGCCAGCAGCCGCGGUAAUACGGAGGAUUCAAGCGUUAUCCGGAUUUAUUGGGUUUAAAGGGUGCGUAGGCGGUCGGAUAAGUUAGAGGUGAAAUCCCGAGGCUCAACUGCGGAAUUGCAUCUGAUACUGUUCGGCGAGAGAGUAGUUGCGGGAGGCGGAAUGGAUGGUGUAGCGGUGAAAUGCUUAGAGAUCAUACAGAACACCGAUUGCGAAGGCAGCUUACCAAGCUACUUCUGACGUUGAGGCACGAAAGCGUGGGGAGCAAACAGGAUUAGAUACCCGAGUAGUC